AAAUUGAAGAGUUUGAUCAUGGCUCAGAUUGAACGCUGGCGGCAGGCCUAACACAUGCAAGUCGAGCGGAAACGACACUAACAAUCCUUCGGGUGCGUUAAUGGGCGUCGAGCGGCGGACGGGUGAGUAAUGCCUAGGAAAUUGCCUUGAUGUGGGGGAUAACCAUUGGAAACGAUGGCUAAUACCGCAUAAUGCCUAC
rnacentral:rRNA from 1 species